rnacentral:tRNA from 1 species
GCAUUGGUGUUUCAGUGGUGGAGUUCUUGCCUCCCACACAAGAGAUCCGCAUUUGAUUCCCGGCCGAUGCC